AGAGUUUGAUCCUGGCUCAGGAUGAACGCUGGCGGCGUGCUUAACACAUGCAAGUCGAGCGAGAAGCUCGUGAACGAUUCUUCGGAUGAGUGAUCGAGUGGAAAGUGGCGGACGGGUGAGUAACGCGUAGGCAACCUGCCCCAUACAAAGGGAUAGCUACUGGAAACGGUAAUUAAUACCUCAUAACGCAGUUUUACCGCAUGAUAGAACUGCCAAAGAUUUAUCGGUAUGGGAUGGGCCUGCGUCUGAUUAGCUGGUUGGUGAGGUAACGGCUCACCAAGGCGACGAUCAGUAGCCGACCUGAGAGGGUAAACGGCCACAUUGGAACUGAGACACGGUCCAAACUCCUACGGGAGGCAGCAGUGGGGAAUAUUGCACAAUGGGGGGAACCCUGAUGCAGCAACGCCGCGUGAGCGAAGAAGGCCUUUGGGUCGUAAAGCUCUGUCCUGAAGGAAGAAGGAAGUGAUGGUACUUCAGGAGGAAGCCCCGGCUAACUACGUGCCAGCAGCCGCGGUAAUACGUAGGGGGCGAGCGUUAUCCGGAAUCAUUGGGCGUAAAGGGUACGUAGGCGGUUUUUUAAGCAUGAGGUGAAAGGCAAAGGCUUAACCAUUGUAAGCCUUGUGAACUGGAAGACUUGAGUGCUGGAGAGGAAAGCGGAAUUCCUAGUGUAGCGGUGAAAUGCGUAGAUAUUAGAAGGAACACCAGUGGCGAAGGCGGUUUGCUGGGCCGUUACUGACGCUGAGGCACGAAAGCGUGGGGAGCAAAUAGGAUUAGAUACCCUAGUAGUCCACGCUGUAAACGAUGAGUACUAAGUGUUGGGGUUUCCCAGUGCUGAAGCUAACGUAUUAAGUACUCCGCCUGAGUAGUACGGUCGCAAGGCUGAAACUCAAAGGAAUUGACGGGCACCCGCACAAGCGGUGGAGCAUGCUGUUUAAUUCGACGAUACGCGAAGAACCUUACCUAGACUUGACAUCCCCGGCAAAACUAUAGAAAUAUAGUGGAGGUUAUCCGGGUGACAGGUGGUGCAUGGUUGUCGUCAGCUCGUGUCGUGAGAUGUUCGGUUAAGUCCGCUAACGAGCGCAACCCUUGUCCUUAGUUGCUAACAUUAAGUUGAGAACCCUAAGGAGACUGCCGGUGACAAACCGGAGGAAGGUGGGGAUGACGUCAAAUCAUCAUGCCCCUUACGUCUAGGGCUACAGGCGUGCUAUAAUGGCCGAUACAAUGAGAAGCAAUACUGUGAAGUGGAGCAAAUCUAUAAAGUCGGUCUCAGUUCGGAUUGAAGUCUGCAACUCGACUUCAUGAAGUUAGAAUCGCUAGUAAUCCCAAAUCAGAAUGUUGGGGUGAAUACGUUCCCGGGUGUUGUACACACCGCCCGUCAUGCCAUGAAAGUUUGUAAUACCCGAAUGUGGUAGCCUAACCCUUUUAGGGAGGGGGCCAUUUAAGGUAGGACAAGUGAUUGGGGUAAAGUCGUAACAAGGUAACCGUA
rnacentral:rRNA from 1 species